UGCGAGCUGAGUGUAUUCAGCUGGCUCCGCUGCUAACUCUGGAACCUUAGGUAAGUGUAUUCAGCUGGCUCCGCUGCUAACUCUGGAACCUUAGGCGUCCCUGGACAUUGACUUUCACCUCCUCCUGGAUCAAGUUGUGAGGAUAAAAGGACUGAGAUUUGUUACCAGGGACAUGGAGAGAACAGAGGCUGCAGGUGCUCCAGGCCCCUUGGUGACUGUCCCAGGCUGGCUGCCCUAGGAGAUGCUCUAAGAAGACCAUAGGUGAGGCUCUCUAGCCAGAGACACCUUUCCAUAAAAUAACCCAGAGGAGCCAGAGCAGAGGAAGGUAGCGUUAGUUUGCUGAGGCUGCCAUAACGAAAAGCACAGACUGGAUGGCUUACACAGCAGAAAUUUAUUUUCUCGCAGUUCUGGAGGCUGGAAGUCCAAGAUCAAGGUGCCAACAUGGUUGGGUUCUGGUGCGUCUCCACGGGCAGCUCUCCUAAGACACUCGACCCUCCUAAGACCCUCAACCCUCAAGUCCCUGGAGGCAGAAAUGUUCUGGGCCUGCAAAACAGUUAAGGGACAUUAAGAUAACACUACUUUAUGGAUAUGAACAGACAUUUUUCCAAAGAAGAUAUACAGAUGGCCAAU